GACUCUCGGCAACGGAUAUCUCGGCUCUCGCAUCGAUGAAGAACGUAGUAAAAUGCGAUACCUGGUGUGAAUUGCAGAAUCCCGUGAACCAUCAAGUCUUUGAACGCAAGUUGCGCUCGCGACCACUCGGCCGAGGGCACGCCUUCCUGGGCGUCA
rnacentral:rRNA from 16 species